GCGAACGCUGGCGGCCGGCUUCACCCCUGCAAGUCGAACGGGCUUCUUCGGAAGUCAGUGGCAGACGGGUGAGUAACACGUGGGAACGUGCCCUUCGGUUCGGAAUAACUCAGGGAAACUUGAGCUAAUACCGGAUACGCCCUUAUGGGGAAAGGUUUACUGCCGAAGGAUCGGCCCGCGUCUGAUUAGCUUGUUGGUGGGGUAACGGCCUACCAAGGCGACGAUCAGUAGCUGGUCUGAGAGGAUGAUCAGCCACACUGGGACUGAGACACGGCCCAGACUCCUACGGGAGGCAGCAGUGGGGAAUAUUGGACAAUGGGCGCAAGCCUGAUCCAGCCAUGCCGCGUGAGUGAUGAAGGCCUUAGGGUUGUAAAGCUCUUUUGUCCGGGACGAUAAUGACGGUACCGGAAGAAUAAGCCCCGGCUAACUUCGUG
rnacentral:rRNA from 1 species